UCCCUGUGGCUGCCGAGUUCUCGGGAACAGCGGCUCGGCCUGCAAGGCUGUUGUUUCAAGAAAUGAAAAUGAAGGGCGCCCUGGAAUAGGUUCGCCGAAGAGAGAGCAACAUGGCCUGUCGCGGUGGCUCAUGCCUGUAUUCCCAGCACUUUGGGAGGCCAAAGCAGGAAGAUCGCUUGAGCCCAGGAGUUUGAGACCAUCCUGGACAAGCUUGCAGGCCUCUGGGAAGCAAGCCAUCGUGUGGCAGAGGCCCAGGUGGCAAGGAACCAAGGGCGGCUUCUGGCCAACAGCCAGCGAGGACCUGAGACCGUAGCCCAACACCCCUCCAGGAACUGAAUUUUGCCAGCAACCAGUGAGUGACCUUGGAAGUGGAUCCUUCCCCCGAAAGCCCGGCUUUCAGACGGAGGCUGGUGGGACCUCAACCCCAGCUGGUAUCCAGGCUCUUGACACCAUCUGGAGAAGGAAUUCAAGAGUGUGUCAGAAAAUGAUGAAAGUACAAAGAUUUAUUGCAAAGCGAAAAAUACACACUCAAGAAAGGGGAGUAUGGGUGGACUCAAGACAGAGUCCGAUGGGACUUGGGGUUUCUACCUUUUGGGUUUCUUUUUUUUUUUUUUUUGAUAUGGAGUCUCGCACUGUUGCCCAGGCUGGAGCGCAGUGGCGUGAUUUUGGCUCACUGCAACCUCUGCCUCCCGGGUUAAAACGAUUCUCCUGCCUCAGCGUCCCAAGUAGCUGGGAUUACAGGCUCCCACCACCAUGCCCGGCUAAUUUUUGUAUUUUUAGUAGAGACGAGGCCUCACCAUAUUGGCCAGGCUGUUCUCGAACUCCGGACCUUAGGUGAUCUGCCUGCCUCAGCCUCCCAAAGUGCUGGGAUUACAGGCGUGAGCCACCAUGCCCAAUGGGUGUGGGAUUUAGUAUAUUAAUGAGUGUAUAAUGAGGUCCUUGGUGAAACCUACAUCAAAUCCAGCACCGUGUUGGGUCCAGUCUGUCUUAGCCAGCUUGGUCCACACCCUGGUUUUUUAGGGUCUUAUUGGCCCCUUACUUCUGCAGCAAAAGUUUCCUUUUGCUAGUCAUGUGAAACUGCCACCUGGAAUUUUCUAUUCUCUAGUGACCACCCUGUAUUAUUCCUGUCUCACUGGGACCCUAAGAAAUUGGGAAUUCCAACUACACAUCCAAAAUAGUUUGACUAAAACUGUUGAAAAAAGAAAAAAAUAAUGGCAUAAAGUAUUGCUUGACUAAAUUCCAGCCAGGUGCAUUGGCCACUUUAGGUCGGGUGUGGUGGCUCAUGCUUGUAAUCCCAGCAUUUUGGGAGGCUGAGGCGGGAGGAUCACUUGAGGUCAGGAGUUCCAAACCAGUCUGGCCAAAAUGGUAAAACCCCCUCUCUACUAAAAAUACAAAAAUUAGCCGGACCUGGUGGCGGAAGCCUGUAAUCCCAGCUACUCUGGAGGCUGAGGCACGAAAAUUGCUUGAACCCAGGAGGUGGAGGUUGCAUUGAACCAAGAUCAUACCACUGCACUCUAGCCUGUGUGACAGAGAAAGAUUCCGUCUCAAGAAACAAAAA
rnacentral:lncRNA from 1 species